rnacentral:lncRNA from 1 species
UGGUGGAAGUCACAGGCCUGCCCAAGCUGGAGGACUGUCCCAUUCCAACAAGUGAAGGAGCUCUGCAGGGCCAUCUUGGAGCCUGGGGAUGUUCCUGGAGAGCACACAGACACACAACCAUGGUUCUACCACUGGAGUGACUUAUUGAGAAGAUAUUAGAAAGAUGCAGCACUUUCUGUUCUGGAAUGCAAAGAACACCAUCAUGCAAGCCUGGGCCUCAGAUCUGGACUUGGAUCCUCCUGCCUGGCUGUAUGAGGCUGACCAUGUCCCUUCUCUGUGUGGCCCCUGUCCCAUCCUCUAUCAAAGGAGGGAUUUCUAUUAGAUUGCUAAGGAAUGGAGGGCUUUGCCUGGGGACCACCUCACAAGGCCUGGCUGGUGCCUCCUGCUACUCAGUUCUUGGCUGAUGUCAGAUGGGGAGACUCUGGCCCCUGUGGAGAUGAGCAGGACCGUUAGUAAUAUGCUCAUUUGAUUAAUCAGAAGACUGAGGAUGUGAGAGCCUACACAAUGCACAGAGAAAUGAUUUUUAGACAACAAAGAACUACAGAAGGACUUGCUCAGUGCUGCCAACUCCAUUCAGGAUGAUGGCUGCCCACUCAUACCUGCAAUGGGUCAUGGACUGGGAAGCUGAUGAAACUGCAACUGGCAUGGGCUGCUGGGAGCCACCAUACAUGGAGGAGAGUGAUGGCUGAUUCACAGUUUAUUGUGAUCCCGGCAUGACACAAUGCAGAAGAGUUUGGAUUUACUGGCUCAGGGGUAAACUGUAGAUUAUUCACUGCGUCCAUUUCACUGGCUGAACCAGGAAGCAAUUCCUGGGUCCAUCUGUCAGAAUCUCUGAACUGGGAGGAGGAGAAGAAUGAAGCACGGACAGCUGACCAGCCAGGCAGUCCCCAGAGCUGCCAUGCACUCUGCAGCACGCUUCCUGGGUCUUCAUUCCAAUCAGUGGGACAGUUUCACGCAUAAAUCCUUACCCGAUGGUCAGAUGUGGUCUCCAUCUGCUUUCCUGACCUCACUUGUCUUCUUUAAAGAGCAGCGACUCAGAAUAAGACCAGUCCUCUGCUCAGAGUUCCUGCAUCCUGGGGGCCACUUCUGAACCAGACCAUGCCCACUCCAGCCACCACAGAUCGAGCCACGGGCAACCAAUUACUAGACUGGCCACACCUGU